CCUACGGGAGGCAGCAGUGAGGAAUAUUGGUCAAUGGACGAGAGUCUGAACCAGCCAAGUAGCGUGAAGGAUGACUGCCCUAUGGGUUGUAAACUUCUUUUAUAUGGGAAUAAAAUGUUCCACGUGUGGGAUUUUGUAUGUACCUUAUGAAUAAGGAUCGGCUAACUCCGUGCCAGCAGCCGCGGUAAUACGGAGGAUCCGAGCGUUAUCCGGAUUUAUUGGGUUUAAAGGGAGCGUAGGUGGAUUUUUAAGUCAGUUGUGAAAGUUUGCGGCUCAACCGUAAAAUUGCAGUUGAAACUGGCAGUCUUGAGUACAGUAGAGGUGGGCGGAAUUCGUGGUGUAGCGGUGAAAUGCUUAGAUAUCACGAAGAACUCCGAUUGCGAAGGCAGUUCACUGGACUGCAACUGACACUGAGGCUCGAAAGUGUGGGUAUCAAACAGGAUUAGAUACCCUUGUAGUC
rnacentral:rRNA from 1 species